rnacentral:rRNA from 1 species
GCAUAUCAAUAAGCGGAGGAAAAGAAACUAACAAGGAUUCCCCUAGUAACGGCGAGUGAAGCGGGAAGAGCUCAAAUUUGAAAUCUGGUAGCCUUCGGUUGCCCGAGUUGUAAUCUAGAGAAGUGUUUUCCGUGCCGGCCCAUGUACAAGUCCCUUGGAACAGGGCGUCAUAGAGGGUGAGAACCCCGUCCUUGACAUGGACCCCCGGUGCUUUGUGAUACACUUUCAACGAGUCGAGUUGUUUGGGAAUGCAGCUCAAAAUGGGUGGUGAAUUCCAUCUAAAGCUAAAUAUUGGCGAGAGACCGAUAGCGAACAAGUACCGUGAGGGAAAGAUGAAAAGCACUUUGGAAAGAGAGUUAAACAGUACGUGAAAUUGUUGAAAGGGAAACGAUUGAAGUCAGUCAUGCUCUUAGGAUUCAGCCGUUCUGCGGUGUAUUUCCUUUGAGUGGGGUCAACAUCAGUUUUGAUCGAUGGAUAAAGGCACGAGGAAGGUAGCACUCUCGGGUGAACUUAUAGCCUCGCGUCAUAUACAUUGAUUGGGACUGAGGAACGCAGCAUGCCUUUAUGGCCGGGAUUCGUCCACGUACAUGCUUAGGAUGUUGACAUAAUGGCUUUAAACGACCCGUCUUGAAACACGGACC